ACUUUGUUCAGCGUUAAAUAUACCACUUUCUUUUUAUUUUUUAUUAGUUGACUUUGGAUCAGCUAUAGAGCAUUUUACCUGGAUUCAUUUCAGGCUAUUGGACUUAUAAUUGCAUGAACUCUUUUAUUUGUCUUGCCAGGGAAGAUUGGCAAGAUAUAGCUGAUUACCUGGGGUGUUUUCCACGGGUGCAGCAAUAGAUGUUUAUCCAAGAUAUAAUGUGACCUUGGCUGGAUUGGUGUGUGGAGACAUCUGCCUUUUUGUCAUCUGGGAAGCUUCUGUGUUUGGGUGCACUGCACAGCUCCUUUGCUUUUCCUGGGCUGAAAACUUUAGAAACCAAAUGUUUUGUUUCCCAAGGUCAAACAACAUUUAUCCAGAGGGAAAGGAAUGGAGUGAACCUCAGGCCUGAUACCAGGAGACCAGGAGAAGAGUACACAGGGAGGUUGUGAUGCAGAGACAAUGGCUGGGGGCCCCACAUGGGCAGCAUCACUUUUGGGGUCCCUGUGCAGGACCCAAAUUCCUUCCAUCAUGUUCAUUUCUGUUGCUUCCCUGAGCUCCUGUUCUCUGUGCUACCAACCUUUUUGUGGGGGUGUAAAAGUCCUAGUGUGGAGUGGAGCUGAAGCUGGUAUGAAUCAGAGCAGCUGGUGUGUCUUCAGUGGACCUACCCCUGGCAACAUCUCUUGUGGGUCUGACACUGAAAUGAAGGAUAUACAGACAGAGAUGGCCAUGUAUGUGUCCUGGUAA
rnacentral:lncRNA from 1 species